rnacentral:lncRNA from 1 species
AUGGGGGUGGGCGAAGGAUUGUGUGGCGUUGCUUUGCAGGGGUGCAGAGGAUGUGGGAUCGAAAGACGCCCCCCGCCCAGGUUCUGGAGGGGGGGGGGGCCGUGUCCCAGGAAGCUGCGGGUGAGGCGGGGCAGGGAGCCUGAUGCCUGCGAAGAGCACAGGAAAAUGCAUCUUGGUCAAAGUAUAUUUGGUAACAGGUGCAGAGACGCGCGACAGAAACUCGGGACUAGAUGGGACUGUCGGUGUGCGGCAGGCGAGUCCUGUGGAGCCCGCGGCGGGGAGCUCAGGCUCUGCAGGCAGUGGGGGGCAGGGCGGCUCCCCGACUCUGCGGCCUCCUGGGAGCUGUUCUCAGACCACCUGCUCCAUCGCUGCCGCGUGGCCCGGUGCGCUCCGGCCCAGCCUCCGCCCGCUGCCCAACUCCAGGCUCAGGACCGUCCACUCCAGCUCCGGAUCUCAGUUCACGUUGCGGACGGAAUCCCCCUGGGCUGCUGCUGGCCCACGACUCGUCCCCGAGGCGGGCUGCAAACUGCAGGUGGGCUUCCGGGGCCACGGCUGCCGCAGGUGCAGGCUUGGGGGGGCGGGGGGGGGCUCGGCUCUCCUGCCUCUGUCCUCACCGCGGGGUCACAGAGCAAGCCGGUCCACGGCUGCCGGCGGAGAUGGAGGGAAAGGAAGGCGGGAACCUGGAAGGCGAGGUGCAGCAGGUCUGUGGCCUGCGCUCCCCUCCCGGGGACGGGGCCAGAGGCCUUUGCUUGCAACCUAAGAAAGUGCCGAGCACGGCUGCUGGGACGGAGGGGCAUCCUCUGCGCCCCCACCCCCACCCCCCCGACCCCCCCGCGUGCUCUGCGCCACCCAAGGUGCUGGUGCUCCAGGAGCAAACCAAGCGGUGGGCUGGCCUCACACAAGGCACAGGGGUGGCAGGACACAGGGGCACGUGGCAGUUUGGGGUCCUUCUGUCCCCAAAGCAGUGCUCUUUGGAGGCUCCCUGGUGCCCCGGGGGGCAAAUCGCGGCCUGGAUGUGAGCGGUCAUCCGAGUGA